UACGUAGGGUGCGAGCGUUGUCCGGAAUUAUUGGGCGUAAAGAGCUCGUAGGCGGUUUGUCACGUCUGCUGUGAAAUCCCGAGGCUCAACCUUGGGCUUGCAGUGGGUACGGGCAGACUAGAGUGCGGUAGGGGGUGACUGGAAUUCCUGGUGUAGCGGUGGAAUGCGCAGAUAUCAGGAGGAACACCGGUGGCGAAGGCGGUUCUCUGGGCAUUACCUGACGGCUGAGGAGCGAAAGUGUGGGGAGCGAACAGG
rnacentral:rRNA from 1 species